rnacentral:lncRNA from 1 species
GUUCUUCAAUUCAUAAUUCCUAAGUUCUUUAAUUACUUUUACUUACAUUCAAGUUAUUUAUUGGAUUCCUGCUUGCAUCAAGUGCUCUAGUCUUUGAAACGCUAGAGUAGUAAUUAAUAGAUUAGACGUGGUGUUUAGACUUGCAAUUACCUGGAAUUGCACCCAAUCCUGCGGAUUGUUGUGGUAGCCCUAGGGUAGUGAUAGCCCUAACGGUCGACGUAUUCCACCUCAUUCGGAUCGGUGUUUGUAGG